CCCUUAGACGUUCUGGGCCGCACGCGCGCUACACUGACACAGGCAACGAGCUUUCCUUUACCGAAAGGUAUGGGUAAUCUUUUGAAACUGUGUCGUGCUGGGGAUAGAUCCUUGCAAUUUUUGAUCUUAAACGAGGAAUUCCUAGUAAGCGCGAGUCAUCAACUCGCGUUGAUUACGUCCCUGCCCUUUGUACACACCGCCCGUCGCUACUACCGAUUGAAUGGCUUAGUGAGGCCUCAGGAUCCGCGCUUAAUGUGUGGGGAAUUUGGACAAACUACGUCAUUUAGAGGAAGUAAAAGUCGUAACA
rnacentral:rRNA from 1 species